rnacentral:rRNA from 1 species
GUCGAGGAUCUUCGGCAAUGGGCGCAAGCCUGACCGAGCGACGCCGCGUGCGCGAUGAAGGCCUUCGGGUUGUAAAGCGCUGUCGAGGGGGAGGAAAGCCCGCAAGGGUCUGACUAAUCCCUGGAGGAAGCACGGGCUAAGUUCGUGCCAGCAGCCGCGGUAAGACGAACCGUGCGAACGUUGUUCGGAUUCACUGGGCUUAAAGGGCGCGUAGGCGGGCUGGCCAGUCAGGGGUGAAAUCCUCCGGCUUAACCGGAGAACAGCCUUUGAUACUGCCAGUCUCGAGGAAGGUAGGGGCAUGUGGAACUUCCGGUGGAGCGGUGAAAUGCGUAGAUAUCGGAAGGAACGCCGGUGGCGAAAGCGACGUGCUGGACCUUUUCUGACGCUGAGGCGCGAAAGCCAGGGGAGCAAACGGGAUUAGAAACCCUGGUAGUCC